rnacentral:rRNA from 1 species
UACGUAGGUCCCUAGCGUUGUCCGGAUUUAUUGGGCGUAAAGCGAGCGCAGGUGGUUUAUUAAGUCUGGUGUAAAAGGCAGUGGCUCAACCAUUGUAUGCAUUGGAAACUGGUAGACUUGAGUGCAGGAGAGGAGAGUGGAAUUCCAUGUGUAGCGGUGAAAUGCGUAGAUAUAUGGAGGAGCACCGGUGGCGAAAGCGGCUCUCUGGCCUGUAACUGACACUGAGGCUCGAAAGCGUGGGGAGCAAACAGG